UGGGGAAUUUUCCGCAAUGGGCGAAAGCCUGACGGAGCAAUACCGCGUGAGGGAGGAAGGCUUUUGGGUUGUAAACCUCUUUUCUCAAGGAAGAAGUUCUGACGGUACUUGAGGAAUCAGCAUCGGCUAACUCCGUGCCAGCAGCCGCGGUAAUACGGAGGAUGCAAGCGUUAAUCGGAAUUACUGGGCGUAAAGCGUGCGCAGGCGGCUGGCUAAGUCGGAUGUGAAAGCCCCGGGCUCAACCUGGGAAUGGCAUUCGAUACUGGCUAGCUAGAGUUUGGUAGAGGUAAGUGGAAUUCCGGGUGUAGCGGUGAAAUGCGUAGAUAUCCGGAGGAACAUCAGUGGCGAAGGCGGCUUACUGGACCAAAACUGACGCUCAGGCACGAAAGCGUGGGUAGCAAACAGGAUUAGAUACCCCUGUAGUCC
rnacentral:rRNA from 1 species